rnacentral:lncRNA from 1 species
UAUACAGCAAAAGUGAAGGGAUGCUGACACUGAAUGGGAGAACAGAGGUGCUUGCCUGAAGCUGAACCUGAGUUUAUGUUGGAUUUCAUGAAAGAGUAUUUAGCAAAUGAGUGGUCUCCUAUUUCAUGUCUGUGGUUUUUUACUCUCUAUGGAAUCUUCUGUUUAGAAAGAAGAUUUAAAAGAAACCUAGAGAUGUUCUGGGGGCAAGGGUCAUCUACCUUAACAUUUCACCAGAUAAACAAGGUUCCAAAGGACUACAACCAAAAUGACUGACCACUGCUCCCAGUGAUAUGGCAGACUCCCUUUCAACUGUGGCAACUAAGCCAGUGCAAGCUUGUCACUGACUCUGAGCAUCUCUGGAUCAAGCAAAAGUUUAUAUAUACACUGUACUGAAGAAUUGCUCUGGCACAGAGGAGCCUUACAUGCUGUCUGGUUUAUACAAGCCAAUACUUCAGCCAUGUGAAUAUAUGUCACCUACUUUUAGUUCCUAUCUAUCCAUUCUAAAUGACACUGGAGAUCUUGGUUCAAGAGAGAUUGAGAUUCUACUGCUGGAAGAGAUGUUUUUUAGUUUUUUUUCAUUUUUUACAUGAAACAACGGACAAAAAAAUUCUAAGGACUUCCCUUGCUCUCAGACUGCAGUCAUAAUGAAAAGAUAUGUGAUAAGCAAGUUAUCAAGUUUUUAUGGUAGAUCCGGAUUUAGGCAUUACACUGGUCCAGAGAUAUAUUCUUCUCUGAAGAAUCUGUGGAAUUUACUAUCAGCAGCUGAAGUGAAGGGCCACUGCUAGUCCACCUUUUCAACACAGAUUAUUGAAAUAUUGACUUUUUGUAGAAAUCAGCCAUUCCUGACUCUGAGAAGAGGUGGCUCUCAAACAAUAGGCACCCUACCAGCUGCUAUUUGCUUCGACUCUCUAGAGGUAAUCCAUAUCAGACAGCUACAGAUCAGUCAGGAAGCCCACACCUGAAAUGUCUUCCUUUGGUAUUUACACAUUCUCAAAGUCAAGCUUGUGCAGAAAUAAAAAUCUUAUCAACACAGCUCA